rnacentral:lncRNA from 1 species
AAUAAAAAAAAGUAUUUUGUAUUUUAUAUUUUGUUAAAAUUUUGUCCAAAAACGACUUUUUUGUGCAACCUAGUGUAUAUUCAUAGAAGUUAUUAAAUGGAGCUCUUUAAUUUUUUACCUAGAAGAUUUUAAUAACUCUAACUCUAUUCCAAAUCACGCGAGUAGCCAUUAGACAUUACUAAGAGACAUACCCGGUAUAUAUAUAUUUAGUGAUUCGAAGGUUUCUUUUAUUAGUUUUAAUAAUAAUUUUGUUUAAUUUAAUAAAAAGAAGUCUAUUUUGUACUCUAUCUGUGUAUCCUUUUUUAUUCCUAAAAAAUAGCAGAUGAAAUAGAAGUGAAAUAGACGGCUUAGAGGGGAGAUAAUGAAAUUAUGUGAUUGGGUCUUCCAAAAGCAAAGGAAUAAUCCGUUUUUUCGUUAACUGAUCUGAUGGGUCCAACAAACAAUUAAUUAUAACAAAUAUCUAAAUUUUAAAUAAAAAAAUAAAAUACUAGACUAAGAUUCUAAAUAAAGGAUAAUAAAUAAACGGGGUCCUCUUUUAUUCGAAACGUCUCGUGAUCUUCAACCAAUUACGCGCUUCAAUAUAAUUACCGGGAGUAAGCGCUAUAGGCUGUUUCUAAUACUCAGCAGCUUGAUCAAACCAAGCCUCUGCAAUUUCAGAAUCUCCCUGUUGAAUGGCCUGUUCUCCCCGGCCGGAAUAGGUAGUUCAAUUCCUUCCCUUAGAACCGUACUUGAGAAUUUCUUACCUCAUACGGCUCAGCAGUCAAUUCUUUUGGUGUCCCAUUUUGAUCUAUACCAUAUCUAAUAAAAUCUAAUCAGAUUUCUCAUGGAUCUAUCCCAGUUUUAGGGUUAACCAAAAGAAAAAUAGGUUAAUUACAUGAGUUUCAAACUGAAAUUUGGAUGAAUAAUCCGUUUAUUUAGUUUUAUCUUUUUUCCCACCUUCAGAAGAAUAGAGCAUAGGCAUUUCUACUAGUGUUAGAAUUUUCUGAAAGAGAACUAUCUCGGUUUCAUAGAUAAAUUUAUAUAGAAUCUUUGAAAAAGACUUUCUUUCAUAAGAAAGAAAAUACUUACUAUCUUUGGGAUCUGAUCCUACACCGCUGCUCAAGACUUUAGUGGAUCGACUCUAUUAGAUAAGUUAAUUCCUAAUUUUUAUCUCACAUCAUGAGAUAAGUACGCAGUUAUUAUUGUAUCGGCCCAAAACCUCGCUAAUUGAUCUUUACGGUGCUUUCUCUAUCUCUCUCAAUUAAAGCUUUAUAUCCAUAGAAAAAAGUUGCUAGGCAUUUUUAUUUUUUCCUAUUUUGACUUCUAUGAAGUUUCGUUCUUUGCUACAGCUGAUAAAAAUCGUUGUUUUAGACGAUGCAUAUGUAGAAAGCCUAUUUGGUUCUAGUAGUUACUUUACUAGAUUUUUCUUUUUUUCUUUCUAUAGUGGAGAUAGUCGCACGUAAUGACACAUCACGGCCAUAUUAUUAAAAUCUUGUUGUAAGAAUGGGUUUCGUUCUAGUGCUCGAAAAUAAUAUUCCAAAGCUUUCGUAUGUUCUCCAUUACUUGUGUGGAUAAGCCCUAUAUUAUAGAGUAUAUAACUUCGAUCAUAGGGAUCAAUUUCUAGUCGCAUAGCUUCAUAAUAAUUCUGCAAAGCUUCCGCAUAAUUUCCUUCGGAUUGAGCCGACAUCCGUUACGGUCGUCAUUCAAUUGAAAGAAUCUCCAUUCCAGAACCGUACGUGAGAUUUUCACCUCAUACGGCUCCUCCCUUAUGUGCAUAAUGAGAAUAAUACAUAGAAUCAAAAAAGAUUCAACGAUGAAAAUAUUCUCAUUAUGAACUCAGCAGGGCUAGUGUUUUUACAAGAAAUCUCUAGCCAACCUUCCUGCAAGAGAUUCUUUCUUAACAUCAAGCCUAUUGGGACUAGAUAGAAAUGAUAAGAUAACUCCCACAAUUUUUUUGUUUUUAACGCCUCCUAAUUUCCAGGAAUUAGUCACUUCAAUAUCCUUUGAUGGUUAUACGGGUAUCCAAAGGACGAACGAGAUGGAUGUUUGUUGUCCCAACCAUUCUUUUAGUCCCAAGCCCGCUAAGAAAAGGGCUGACUUAGAACAAAGUUUUCGUGUUGUUGAUUCCUAGGUGUAGCGCUUCUUCCCCUAUGCUGCCUAUUAGCGCUAGUAGAGUAGGAUUGACCCGUAAUACAGAACCUCUAGGCGUAACCUUUCGCUUAAUACUAGAAUCUAUAAUUGAAACAUAGCAUCUGAGGUUGCAUUAAUCGAGGAUACACGACAGAAGGAAUUGUUCUAUUUCCAAACUUCACCUUCAAAAAGCGUAGAUUUUUUUUCUCGAAUCAUGUAUUUUUCUCCUCGUAAGACUGAGAGAAAUGAAUAAAUAUAAAAUCAAAAAAAAAGAAUCAAAUCGCACCAUCUCUGUAAUAGGUAAAUGCCUCUUUUUCUCCGGAAGUUGUCGGAAUUACUCGUAAUAAGAUAUCGGCUACAAUUGAAAAGGUCUUAUCAAUAAAAUUUCCAUUUAUCCGUGAUCUAGGCAUAGGUAGCAAUCCAUUCUAGAAUUCUUUUCAUUACCUCUCGUGGGAAAAAGAUCCCACAAAGAAAAGAAUUGUAUAGUACGGAAUAACAUAAAAACUUCUUUUUUUUAACAAAAAAACAAAAGAUAUGAAUCCUCUAUUCCAAUUGUUCCUUUUUGACAGGAAUCGAGAAGAAAUAAGAAAUAAGAAAUAUUUCAACGCGAUUCGAUUUCAUACUAAUGUAGUAGUAUAGAAACUAUUCUGAUUUUGGUGAAGUUACAAAUUAGAAGAACUCGAGAAAUUUUGAUUGAAUCAUGAUACAAAUUACAAAGAAGAAAAAAGAUCGACUAAUCAUUCUAUGAUGAAAAUAGAAUAACUGCCAAUUUUGUGUACAUAACGUGUAUACACUAUACAAUCGAAUCUAAAUUUUUGAUGAAUUUCUAUUCUAAUAGAGGGGUAGGUAUUUGUUGUUGAGAACUCCAAAACCAAAAAGGAAUUAAAAAAAUUUUCUGGUAUGGAAUCAUAGUCUAUAUAAUUAUAAUUACAGUUAUGAUUUAAGAGUAUCCAUUAACUAUAGUCUAAAAGAUAUAGACCAUCAAUUAGUUGAUUCGUUCUAAUUCAUUGAAUUAAUCCGUUAUAAAAAUAGAAAAAUAUCAGAAAAAAAAGGGAACGUUGUUUUUGCAAACAUGAAUUGAAUUUUUUUGAACAAUUUUUCGUAAAAAUUGUAUCUUUAUCCCGGAGCCUCGAAGGAAAGAAAAACCGUUCUUUGCUUUGACUUUGAUGACAAAUUUUCAGUUAAAAUGGAUUGGUCGUACCUAUCAAAUAAUGGAAUAUGGAUUAUGACUGACUCGCUAUUCACUCGGUUUUGGGGUCAUAAUCAUUAUGUAGGAGAGAUGGCCGAGUGGUUCAAGGCGUAGCAUUGGAACUGCUAUGUAGGCUUUUGUUUACCGAGGGUUCGAAUCCCUCUCUUUCCGUACCUUCGCUUAAUUAACCAAUUUUACUAACAACAAGGACUCAAAUAGCAUUGUAUACCAUUAUUCAAACAGCUAGACCCUUCUUUGAUCUAAAGAUAUAGAUUCUCAAUUCCUAAUUGCUGUGACGCGUAAAAUAGAAUACUCAAAAAUAAUCAUAAUCAAAAUACUGGAAAGAAAAGAAUAGACAAGGAAUGAAAAUAGAUCCUUGGUCUAUGAUACAAAAAUGGGGGAAAUCUAGAUCAAACUCGGAUUGAUCUUACUUAACUUACUUAACCUUGGGUUAAUUUACUUCGCCUAAAGGGAAGAAAUUUUUGCGAACCCUUGGUUUAAGUCUGAGGUUUAAGUCUGACGAGAAUAAUAUUCUACGACUAGCAAUUCAUUUAUUUUCAAACCAACCCAUUUGCUAUCUAUUAUUUGAUUGACUAAUCCUUUAUAUUGGAAUGGCUGAAGGGUCAAAUGAUUUGGUAACUCCUCAUGAGGGGAUGAAUCGAGAGAAAUUUGAAUCAGAGUCUGGAUUUUUGUUCAUCCUUAGCCGUAAUAAUAUCUCGGGGUUUGCAGCGAUAACUCGGUAUAUCUACUAUAUGACCAUUAACUAAAAUAUGUCGAUGGUUAACUAAUUGACGGGCUGCGGGAAUAGUGGAAGCCAUACCGAAUCGAAAAAGGAUGUUAUCCAAACGCAUUUCAAGUAAUUGUAGUAAAACUUGACCUGUUGACCCCUUGGCUUUUCUGGCGAUACGAACGUAUUUAAGUAAUUGUCGUUCUGUAAGACCAUAAUGAAAACACAAUUUUUGUUUUUCUUCUAGACGAAUACGAUAUUGAGAUUUUUUACUGGAACGCGAUUGGUUUCUAAGAUCACUUCCGGUCCUAGGCUUUUUAUUAGUUAGUCCUGGUAAAGCCCCCAGGCGUCGUAUUUUUUUGAAACGAGGUCCUCGGUAACGCGACAUAAAGACUCCUUAUUCUUAUUUAGUAUUUCGAAUGAAUUCUUAUUUCUAUUUUUUUAUUGAAUUUUAUUUUACAGAAUAAACCUAAACUAAAACUAAACUGAACUAAAUGAAGCGAAGUUUACUGAAAUAGUGUACUUGUACUAUAAAUACUAUAAAGAAAAGAAGAAUGGGAUGAAUUAGAUAAAUAUACAGAACCCCUUCUAUUAUAUAUAUAUAGUUCUUUGCUGACAUAAUUGGAAGUUCCUAUAAUAAAUUGAUAGCUUUUGGAAAAGGAGGAAGGCGCAAUUUCAAUAUUCUUUGAUUUCAAAGGAACAUUAUCAAUCAUCUAAAAAAUGAAAAAAAAAAAGGGAAAAGCCGGCUAUCGGAAUCGAACCGAUGACCAUCGCAUUACAAAUGCGAUGCUCUAACCUCUGAGCUAAGCGGGCCCACAUCACAGAAAUCUUAUAUGCAUAGUAAUUGACUAAACUACUGGAAUUGGAAUCUUAGUUAUUAACUAGUCAAUAUUCUAUUGAAUAUUCUAGAGCAUAAGGAUUAAUAUAGCGAUCUAGAAUUUCGAUUUAUCACAAUUCUAAUACUAAUA